rnacentral:rRNA from 1 species
AUUUGACCUCAAAUCAGGUAAGACUACCCGCUGAACUUAAGCAUAUCAAUAAGCCGGAGGAA